UGGGGUUUUACCAUGCUGGCCAGGCUGGUCUCGAACUCCUGACUUCAGGUGAUCCACCUGCCUCGGCCUCCCAAAGUGCUGGGAUUACAGGUGUGAGCCACCGUGCUUGGCCUCACUGCCAGUUUCUGAGGGGAGCUGCGAAGGUCCGCUAAGUCCUCUCCAGGCUUAGGUGGAAAGGAUGUGGAAGGAAUUGUCCUGCACCUGUGUGGCCUUCUCUACAUCUGUGUUCAUGCUUGUGUCUGUUACAAAAGGUUGCAAGCCUAUCUCCCUGCUGGAUGUAAAGAUGCAGGCUCAACGUUUAGCAUAGUCGACAGAAAACAGAGCUGCCAGUGGAGACACUAACAUGUGUUAAGUUCUUUGGGAAGGAGGUGUCUCUGAUGCUUAUAUCACUUGCAUCUGCCCAUAGCAGACACUCAUCAUCUGAUAAGCUGAACUGGGCCAAUUCCAAGGCAGUAAUUGUGCCAGGAGUGUCUUCAUGUAUUAUUCCACCUAAUGACAAGACAAGCGAGAAGAGCUAACCUAAGCAGGGAGCCAGAAAGAAAAAUGUUUCAAAGGGAUAGAGAGGACUUUAAGUAAAGCUUGGGGGCGGCGGGGGUAAUAUAAGGACCUGAUCCAGAAAAGAUGGGAUGAGCUGAAUUGUUCUUCCAUUGGCAAUAGCUGACCAUUGUUAGGCUUUUGUGGAAGAGGAAGCUGCAUUUUGUACUCAAUAAACUAUCAGUGCAAUGGAUCAAAUGAUUGGUAUGAAAGAAUAGAGAAGUGCCC
rnacentral:lncRNA from 1 species